rnacentral:lncRNA from 1 species
CACAAGCAAGGCAUCAUAGUUAACUUUAGGUAUAGAUAUUAUUUGUGAAUAAGAAUAGAACAUUUUAAAGCAUUUAACUUGUCUGCAGUUUUUUUCCCCAUCAUAAAAACUUUUGGUUUUAGUAUAAACCUUUCCCUAAGCUUGUAUACUGCCUUAUGAUAUCAAAAAGAUAAUUUUCAAGUCAAGGGUUAAGAGUUUGUAAUUUUC